UGAGAAGGAGUCCCGACACCUGAUGCC
rnacentral:piRNA from 1 species